UUCCCUCAUCUAAAUUCUAUCCCAGGGGCUUUUUGCCUGUAGAGUGCUCUGGCAUUACCUGAGGGUAAUGUGUGGGAAAAGUGCAAUUCCCUUCCAGGAAGACUAUUUCUAUUUGGGCCUACAAGGUGAGUUGACAGU
ensembl:snoRNA